rnacentral:rRNA from 1 species
AGUGAACGCUGGCGGUAGGCCUAACACGUGCAAGUCGAACGGCAGCACAGUAAGAGCUUGCUCUUACGGGUGGCGAGUGGCGGACGGGUGAGGAAUACAUCGGAAUCUACUUUUUCGUGGGGGAUAACGUAGGGAAACUUACGCUAAUACCGCAUACGACCUACGGGUGAAAGCAGGGGAUCUUCGGACCUUGCGCGAUUGAAUGAGCCGAUGUCGGAUUAGCUAGUUGGCGGGGUAAAGGCCCACCAAGGCGACGAUCCGUAGCUGGUCUGAGAGGAUGAUCAGCCACACUGGAACUGAGACACGGUCCAGACUCCUACGGGAGGCAGCAGUGGGGAAUAUUGGACAAUGGGCGCAAGCCUGAUCCAGCCAUACCGCGUGGGUGAAGAAGGCCUUCGGGUUGUAAAGCCCUUUUGUUGGGAAAGAAAAGCAGCAGAUUAAUACCCCGCUGUUCUGACGGUACCCAAAGAAUAAGCACCGGCUAACUUCGUG